rnacentral:rRNA from 1 species
CUACGGGUGGCAGCAGUGAGGAAUUUUGCGCAAUGGGGGAAACCCUGACGCAGCAACGCCGCGUGAGUGAUGAAGGCCCUCGGGUCGUAAAGCUCUGUCAAGUGGGAAGAAUCUAUCGAUAUUGAAUAGAUAUUGAUACUGACGGUACCACAAGAGGAAGCACCGGGUAACUCCGUGCCAGCAGCCGCGGUAAUACGGGGGGUGCAAGCGUUAUUCGGAAUCAUUGGGCGUAAAGGGCGCGCAGGCGGCCUUGUCAGUCAGAUGUGAAAGCCCGGGGCUCAACCCCGGAAGUGCAUUUGAAACUAUGAGGCUUGAGUAUGGGAGAGGGAAGUGGAAUUCCUGGUGUAGCGGUGAAAUGCGUAGAUAUCAGGAGGAACACCGGUGGCGAAGGCGACUUCCUGGACCAAUACUGACGCUGAGGCGCGAAGGCGUGGGGAGCAAACAGGAUUAGAUACCCUUGUAGUC